CAACUCAGAUUAACCUUCUGCGGGAACACUGACGGUUACAUUCACCAAAGCCUGCAAUAUGAAUAUGAUAGCUGGAGCUCCAGCAGCCAUUUUGGACCAGGAGACUCAGCAGCCAUGGCUCACGGGCCCAGCCGCUCCGCGGCAAGUGGGAUCUUCCCGGACCGGGGCACGAACCCGUGUCCCCUGCAUCUACAGGCGGACUCGCAACCACUGCGCCACCAGGGAAGCCCAUGACAUGCUGUCUUAAUCAGCUUGGGUUGCUAUAACAAAAUACCAUAACCUGGGUGGCUUAUCAACAACAGACAUUUAUUUCUCAGUUCUGGAGGGUGGAAGUCCAAGAUCACGAUCAGGUUCUGGUUGGGACCUGGGACCUGGGACCUGGGACCCUUUGCUGCAGUACUUGCACCUGGACGAAUAUCUCCUCGACCAGCAGAAUACAAGAAACUCUAAGGAACUAAAAAUAACUGCCCACAUGUGCAGUUGGGGCAAAAUAUGAACAAUGGGGUACAAAAAGGCCAAAACCCAGCUGCCACUUCUGAGGUGCCAGGAGCAAAAGCAGGGUCCUGCGCAUGAUCCCUACAAGGGGGUGGGCAGACCACCUAAGCUGCCCCUCUGGCCUACCCACCGAUCCACCCCACCCUCACCCCAUUUAAGGGACCAGCUUGUCACCCCCUCAGGGAGUGAGCAAGGACACCUGUUACAUGUUUUUGCUCCCUUGUGCUGCAGCGAUAAAGCCUUGCCUGAAUUCCUUGUCUGGCCUCAUCAAUUUCUAUUGAUUAAAGAGUCCAAAAACCCAGAUCGGUAAAAGGAGUUUGCUGUCGUUCAUGAGAUGAGGCCCAGAUUGAUCUGGAUUCAGAGCAGCUUUCACACUGAGGACCUCUCAGUUUGCUACUAUGAGUCCACAUAAGUGGGCACCACAUGGGGGUCUUGGGAAAGCCCCUAGAGAGCCAGAGCCAGCUUUCCAGGCGUGUGUGAAUUGUGCACUCCUACACGACCCCACACUCAAAAGGGCCUCACAUUUGGUUUAAUGCUCUGCGUUUGCCAUCUUGAAGUUCUUAAUAAUUUUA